ensembl:piRNA 21ur-12287 ncRNA
UGACAACAAAAAAAGCUGGAA